rnacentral:rRNA from 1 species
AUUGAACGCUGGCGGCAGGCCUAACACAUGCAAGUCGAGCGGGGUUUUCGGACCUAGCGGCGGACGGGUGAGUAAUGCGUAGGAAGCUACCCGAUAGAAGGGGAUACCAGUUGGAAACGACUGUUAAUACCGCAUAAUGUCUACGGACCAAAGUGUGGGACCUUCGGGCCACAUGCUAUCGGAUGCGCCUACGUGGGAUUAGCUAGUUGGUGGGGGAAUGGCUCACCAAGGCGACGAUCCCUAGCUGGUUUUAGAGGAUGAUCAGCCACACUGGAACUGAGACACGUUCCAGACUCCGAGCGGAGGCAGCAGUGGGGAAUAUUGGACGAUGGGCCCAAGCCUGAUCCAGCCAUGCCGCGUGUGUGAAGAAGGCCUUCGGGUUGUAAAGCACUUUCAGUAGGGAGGAAGGGUGUUGUGUUAAUAGCACAGCAUUUUGACGUUACCUACAGAAGAAGAACCGGCUAACUCUGUGCCAGCCGCCGCGGUAAUAC